CUUCCCAAGACGGCUUCAGCUAUAUGUAUUGAACGCAACUUUCGGCAUUCAUUUUGCAUCGAUGAUAGCCUCAAAAUAGAAAGCGCUGUGUGGCUUUCAUUUCUUUACCCUUAAAUUCACACAAAUCCCCAGGAUGACCUCACUUUCGUAUCGGACAACGUUCUUUGUUAUUAUUGUUUCAGCAGCGCAUGGACAUGGGAGCGAAGGCCACCUCGUAGCCGAGAAUGGACAAAGUGGGCUAAGUGCGAAAGCCACAUGCCGCUCAUUACAAUUGUAUACGCAUGCAGGACCGAAGCAAGUUACCUGCAAGGUCGACUGCAAACAUGAAGGCCCAGGAGCAACAAUAAUGCAUAAUUCUAAGAAAGGAGAUGAAUGCCUAUGUGAAAACUUGGCUUGACAACGAAGCUGGGUUCGAGAGCCAGCGUCGUCGCAGUAGAAGUGACGGUUUCUCCUGCAGGUUUCGAUCAUAUGAAAUGUGAAGUCAAUUACACGUGUAAAUUAGGCUUAUGUGACCAUGCACUUGAUUGUCAGCCCUCCAAUUUGCUUAUCGGAUGCUGGAAACCUAUACCUACCAAUCAGUAUUCUCAUGUUAUAUCAUACAAGUGUCCUCAAUAAACUAAUGCAUUGCAUAUUUCCAUA